rnacentral:lncRNA from 1 species
AAGUGAUUCUCCUGCCUCAGCCUCUGGAAUAGCUGGGAUUAUAGGCAUGUGCCACCAUGCCUGGCUAAUUUUGUAUUUUUAGCAGAGACGGGGUUUCUCCAUGUUGGUCAGCCUGGUCUCAAACUCCCGACCUCAGGUGAUCUGCCUGCCUCAGCCUCCCAAAGUGUUGGAAUUACAGGCGUGAGCCACCGCGUCCAGCCCAACUGGGGGUUUCUUCUGGUCCCAGCUGAGCUUACUCAUGAUUUUGCAGUCAGCUGUGUGUUUGAAGCUCUGCUGACCUUGACUUAUCUAUGUUUGGAGGUUGGCUGGCAAUGGACACACUGGGAAAACUGCACUUCCAUAUGUGGUUUCUCAUUCUCCAGCAGGCUAGCCCACGCCAGGAGAGAAGCAUGCAAGUCAUCUAGAGGUCCGGGCUUGAAUCUGGCACUUCUAUUGCAUUCAGUUGGCCAAAGUGAAUGGCAGGCCAUCCUAGAUUGAUGGGAAGGAAACUUCAUCUCUUGAUGGGACUGACUGCCAUGUCAUGUUGUGAAGGGCAGGGAAUCCACAUAGUUUACUGUCCAGUCCAGAACAUCACUCCACCUUUCUCCUGCCAGAGCUACGCUCUUCUUACUCCUGAGUCGGCAGAGGAUGUGCUAGAGGGCAACCUCAGACUCUGAUGGUGCAGUAAGAGUCAAGGAUGAACGACCAGACCCUAGCUCACUGGCCCCCCCUUUUUUUUUUUUGAGACAGGGUCUUGCUCUGUCAUCCAGGCUGGAGUACAGUGGUGCGAUCUCAGCUCACUGCAACCUCUGCCUCCCUGGUUCAAGUGAGUCUCAUGCCUCAGCCACCCAAGUAGUUGGGUUUAUAGUCAUGAGCCAGUACACCUGGCUAAUUUUUGUAUUUUUAGUAGAGAAGAGGUUUCACUAUGUUGGUCAGGUUGGUCUUAAACUCCUGGCCUCCAGUGAUCUGCCCACCUUGGCCUCCCAAAUUUCUGGGAUUAUGGGCAUGAGCCACAGCACCUGGCCGCCCCCUGGCCACUAUUAGGAGGUUGGCAUGACAGAUGAGCAGCCAAUAUCCACUCUUCCCUCCUGCCUGAGAAUGGGCCUAGGAGUACAGUCUGAACCUCUGAGCCACCCAAAUCACUGCCAUUCUGGGGGAAUCUACCAUCAAUCCUAACUUCAAAAGGGAAACUAGAAAUCAGGGAGGUGAAGGCAAUAGGGCUGGCAACUCACCUUCUUUCCACAAACAGGAAGGAUUGAGGCCACUUUAUGGAGAUGGUGACAGUAAUAUGUCUUCGAUACCUGUUGUGUGGUCUGCCAGGUACUCAUUCCCAUUUCCUUCUGAAAGUGUAACUCCAAUUUCUCUUGGAAAACUAUCCCUUGUAGCAUAUCCAUCCUUGUAGCAUAUCCAUCCAUCCAUCCAUUGUAGCAUAUCCAUCCUUGUAGCAUAUCCAUCCAUCCAUCCAUUGAUCCAUUGAUCCAUCCAUCCAUCCAUGCAUCUGUCCGUCCAACAAAACUUGGUUGUGUUCCAGUGAUGCCCCAGCUCCUGGGGAUACAGAAACGAACAAGAAAAAGUUCCUGCAUUCAAGAAGUCUACCCUCUGGAGGUAUAAAGCAUGUAAAUAAUCAGACACAAUGCAAAUCCAGAUGAUUAGUGUUAAUGAGGAGGUCAAGCAGAGUGAGAGGACAGAGACUGGGUAAGGUCUCUGGAGAAGUGACAUCCAGUGAGACCUGAAUGAUGGGAAGACCUGGGGGAAGAGCACCCCGAGUCUUUAAUCAUCUGUGCAAAGGCCUAAGACAAGAGAAUCUUCCUCAAGAAGCCACUUUCCGGGGCCUCUUGACUAGAGAAGUGUGUGGACAGAAACCCCAGGCAGAGGUGAGUAAGACAGAAGGGUAGCUGGUGCAGGACGGGUUGGCUGCCAGCUAAAUGCCCUGCCUCUCUCAACCCCUCUUACUCUACCACGUCUCUGUCUCAUUUCUCUUCCCCACCCCUACCUUUCCAGUGCUGGCUCUUCUGGUUGCUGUCCAGUUCCCAGUGCUGAACACCACCUUCCCCAAUGUGGAGCUUCCUCAUUCCCAGCCCAGUCACUUCCUGCUCACCCCCACCUCUUUCUGGGGACACUGGGUACAGGGAAGCACAGUGACAGGACCUCUCCCUAGGCAUGGAGAAAGGGUCUCGGGACUUUAGGGCCUUGGGUCUCCUUAGAGAAGCAUCUGGUCCUCUUUUACUUUAUAAUAUUCAUUCAUUCAAUGAGCAUUUAUUUAGUACUUGCUCUGUGCUGGCACUUUUUAGCAUCUGGGGACACAAAUGAGGAAAUACUCAGAUUCUGCCAGCAAGGAGCCAGAAGAAGGAAGAGACCGGCUAGCAAAGGUGACUGCAUAAGAUCAGCCCUCCUUCAAGGGGCCUACUGAGAACCUCUGGAGGAAACUCUGGUAGAGGAGGUGGAGAAUUGGUGGGGGUGGGAUGGAAGAAUGGUACCCUAGGAUGCUGGUACUUCUGUGCUCAGCGCUCACCCACAGUGGCCCUGAGGGGCCUGUGUCUUGCUCCCUGUGCUGCAUCCCUUACCCCAGCUCCAGGAGGUUCACUCCACCAUGCUCGCCCCAGCCCCCUCACCCAGCGCACCCUCCAACCUCCCAUUGGAUGGCAUCUUCCUCUGCUCCUCAGCCCCUGGGGUGCCUCCUCCCUGCCCACUGGCUAGAGGCUGAGCUGGUCUUGGUGGUACUCAAGGCCCCAGCGCUCACCCUGCCUCUAGAGUCACCUCAUCCACGAACACCGCAGCCCCUGGGUCUCCCCUGUCUGGGCCUCCCUCCAUUCUGGGCUCCAGCUCUGUAGUCACCCUCGGCUCCAAAUGUGGGAUCUUUUCUGUGCCCUUGGAGUGCAAGGACCUUCAUCUCUUUGCUUCUCAUAUAGACCCAAAUAAGAGGAUCAUGCUGGGUGGGGUGGCUCAUGCCUUUAAUCCCAGCACUUUGGGAGGCUGAGGUGGGCAGAUCACCUGAGGUUGGGAGUUUGAGACCUGCCUGACCAACAUGGAGAAACCCUGUCUCUACUAAA